AACCCUCUCAUUCUCUCCCUCUCGCUUUCUGCGUGCGAGCUCUCGACUUCUCUUCAAGCAUUGCCUUGAUCGAUCGCGCGACUUCUCAUGGCCUCACAAUGUAUGUCAUUCACUUUCUCUCCCAAUCGAUCAAUUUUUCUGUCUCUCGAUCAUUUUUUCCCAAAAGCUUCGAAUUCAUCAAUUUAUUUGAAGUUAGGGUUCAGUGAGAGCCAUGGAAAUGUAGACUACGAAGCCAAAUGCAUUCUCAAUCAAUUGAUCUCAAACCCGAACUGAUCUCUACACACUCCUCUGUAUCGAACGAUUCGACCUCUCUGCAAUCUCCUCUCUGGUCGCGAACUUGAACCAGUUGAAGCAAUUCAUCGAUGAUUGCAAGUCUAAUCCCUCAAUUCUCUCCGAUCUUUCUCUCUCCUUCUUCCGAGACUACCUUGAAAGAUGGGAGACUUGUCUAUGGAGGUCAUGGAAGAAAACCGUGAUGCUUCGCAGGAGGCUAAGGUGCUGGGGAAACUGGAGGAAGCAAUAGAGCAGCUCACACAGGCUAUUUUGCUCAAUCCAACCUCAGCAAUUAUGUAUUCAGGUUCUCUCAUCGCGAUCGCUUCGGCCGAAGUCUUCUUCGAAGAACUUUAUCACGCUUCAUCAGUUGUCAAGGAGUCUACAUCUGCGAAAAGAAGGAUUCAAUAAAAAGAGAACAAGAAGCAGCAGAAAAUGAAGUAACUUAUCAUUAAUUAGGAAACAGGAAUCACCCACCAUUUGAUUCCAGUGACAGGGCACAAUGUCAUCAUGUUGAAGAUUUUACUUUAAUUUUCUGUGGUCUUUGUGCAGGACCAGAUAGAUGAGUCCUAAACAUCUUUCAAGCUGACCAGUCAUUAUCUUCACCCGGAGGAGGUUUGUACAGUUAUGGAGAACUAUAGAUGAAAGCAAUGAUUUGUUAUUGUUUUGAUCUUUAAAUUUCAAUUGCUUAGUGCGUGAAUGUGAUACAAUUGCGCUGGGUCAACACUCUUGGGGGCAUAAACGAAAAGCUACUAUCAAAGAUAAAGGUGGAAACAAAAGAACUUAUACAAUGGAGGUUGAGGAAGAGGAGGAGAGAGAUGAUGAUGAACUGGAUCUGCUACUAUUCUUUGCCUUGAUCCUGACUCAAUCCAUCACCUUUUGAGGAUUGCUGGAUUGGGAGUGGGAGUCUUCCUUCUUCUAGCUCGUAGAAUCAGCGUGUCAAAGGUUGAUUCUUGGAAUGUAGUUUUGGUUGUAAAACAAAAGCCACUUUUUUUUUUUUUUUUUUUUUUAAGAAUCUGAUGCAUCUAUCUGCUUUUCUUUUCUUUUGUACUCUUUUUGUUUUCCAUUCAAAUUUUUUGGAACAAUGCAUGUUUUCUUUGAAGGAUGCAACUUUUUAUUUUACUCAGUCUUGUGAUCUGUAAGUUUUUGAAUCAUGUAAAAUACCAAUGAUAUAUUCUUUGAUUUGUUUCUGUUCUUUUAUUUAUGCAGGUUGUGUUUUUUUUUUCCCUCCCCAAGAAAUUAGUAGGUGGAGUUGUAUAUUUAAAGUCAUAUUUUGGAAAUUAGUGAAUCAUAUGAUUUGGAUACUUUUCUUGGUUUGUACGGUUGUGAGGUAGUUAUUAGCUUGAUAUGAUAGAAGUUGAGGAUGGAAGCUAGUAUGCAGGUUGUUUGGUGUGUGGAUGUUAGUUUUUUUCCUUAAUUCAUAGUUGCUGCUUCUGUUUGAUUUGUUCACAAGUUGCCGCACUUUAUAAGCUACUGCGUUUGUUUGGAGGUACAUAGGCUAG